GCCUGACGGAGCGACGCCGCGUGCGGGAUGAAGGCCCUUGGGUUGUAAACCGCUGUCAGGGGGAUGAAAGCCGCAAGGCUUGACAGAGCCCCAGAGGAAGCACGGGCUAAGUUCGUGCCAGCAGCCGCGGUAAGACGAACUGUGCGAACGUUAUUCGGAAUCACUGGGCUUACAGGGUGCGUAGGCGGCCUGCUAAGUAGGGUGUGAAAUCCCCCGGCCCAACCGGGGAACUGCGCUCUAAACUAACAGGCUUGAGUGAGCUAGGGGUGCACGGAACUUCCAGUGGAGCGGUGAAAUGUGUUGAUAUUGGAAGGAACACCGGAGGCGAAAGCGGUGCACUGGGGCUUAACUGACGCUGAGGCACGAAAGCCAGGGUAGCGAACGGGAUUAGAUACCCCGGUAGUCCUGGCCGUAAACGAUGAGCACUGGGCGGGAGGAGGUUCGCCUUCUCCGGCCGUAGCGAAAGCGUUAAGUGCUCCGCCUGGGGAGUAUGGUCGCAAGGCUG
rnacentral:rRNA from 1 species